rnacentral:siRNA from 1 species
UGGAAUGCCUAUUGUUGAUUCGUA